GGCCACACUGGGACUGAGACACGGCCCAGACUCCUACGGGAGGCAGCAGUAGGGAAUCUUCCGCAAUGGACGAAAGUCUGACGGAGCAACGCCGCGUGAGUGAUGAAGGUUUUCGGAUCGUAAAACUCUGUUGUCAGGGAAGAACAAGUGCCGUUCAAAUAGGGCGGCACCUUGACGGUACCUGACCAGAAAGCCCCGGCUAACUACGUGCCAGCAGCCGCGGUAAUACGUAGGGGGCAAGCGUUGUCCGGAAUUAUUGGGCGUAAAGCGCGCGCAGGCGGUCCUUUAAGUCUGAUGUGAAAGCCCACGGCUUAACCGUGGAGGGCCAUUGGAAACUGGAGGACUUGAGUACAGAAGAGGAGAGUGGAAUUCCACGUGUAGCGGUGAAAUGCGUAGAGAUGUGGAGGAACACCAGUGGCGAAGGCGACUCUCUGGUCUGUAACUGACGCUGAGGUGCGAAAGCGUGGGGAGCGAACAGGAUUAGAUACCCUGGUAGUCCACGCCGUAAACGAUGAGUGCUAGGUGUUAGGGGGUUUCCGCCCCUUAGUGCUGAAGUUAACGCAUUAAGCACUCCGCCUGGGGAGUACGGCCGCAAGGCUGAAACUCAAAAGAAUUGACGGGGGCCCGCACAAGCGGUGGAGCAUGUGGUUUAAUUUGAAGCAACGCGAAGAACCUUACCAGAUCUUGACAUCCUCUGCCAAUCCUAGAGAUAGGAUGUUCCCUUCGGGGACAGAGUGACAGGUGGUGCAUGGUUGUCGUCAGCUCGUGUCGUGAGAUGUUGGGUUAAGUCCCGCAACGAGCGCAACCCUUGAUCUUAGUUGCCAGCAUUUAGUUGGGCACUCUAAGGUGACUGCCGGUGACAAACCGGAGGAAGGUGGGGAUGACGUCAAAUCAUCAUGCCCCUUAUGACCUGGGCUACACACGUGCUACAAUGGAUGGAACAAAGGGCAGCGAAGCCGCGAGGUCAAGCAAAUCCCAUAAAACCAUUCUCAGUUCGGAUUGCAGGCUGCAACUCGCCUGCAUGAAGCCGGAAUCGCUAGUAAUCGCGGAUCAGCAUGCCGCGGUGAAUACGUUCC
rnacentral:rRNA from 1 species